GCUCGUGUAGCUCAGUGGUUAGAGCUUCGUGCUUAUAGCACACUCCUUAAAAAGGAGCCUUCUAUGCCUAAGGUCUUUCAAACAGACUUCUAAAGCAACGCGACCGUCGUGGGUUCAAACCCCACCUCGAGCA
rnacentral:tRNA from 1 species